GGGCUGCCGUGGGGGAGUCCCGCGAGAUGACAAAUGUAUGUUGAGAGACAAAUUCUGGUUCGACAUGAACUCCGCUUAGUCAGUCUUGCAACCUAAAACCUUCCCAACUGAAGAAACGCUAUUUCGUUUUACUCUAUUGGAUCCGGACCUCCAGGUCUUUUUUCCAAGAAGGUGGCAAAGGUGAAGACGGUGUUCGGAAGAGAGCGCUGCUCGCGUUGAGUGUGUUUCCACGGAGCAAAGGUCUUUCAUUUAUUUCUGGGGAAAGAUGUGCCCAUCAUAUUUAUGAGUCCUAAGACUUUCCCUCAUAAAGGGCAAACAGGGAAGUGACGUCACAUUUGAAAUGACAAUAAAAAGAGGAAAAAAGAGCAACAGUGAUAGAGAGACAGAGACAGAGGUUGAAACUUGAGUGGCGCUUCAUCAGAGAAGGAAAAGCAAAACGACUCUUUGCUCCCUCGGUGACUUGUUUACGAGAAGAGCAACCUUCAGGAACAAGAAGGCUUGCACUUAUCUUUUCCAUCUUAUCCGUUAAUUAAUUUCAUUUAAAAAUCGUGCUUCGUUUUCACUGCCAGUCGCUUACUUUUCUGCCCUGAAGCAGCAAAGCUGCAGCACCGUUUCCCUGUCGCUGCAGGCUAUUCUGGUAACUGCCUGCAAUGUUAGUACAUAAGGACAGUUUUAUUUAGUCAUACGGAUUUUAAGGUCUUCUUCACCUUUCUGACUUUUUCUUGGUUCCCAUCGGUCAAAGAAAGCACCAGGUAGAGCCAUCAGCGGAUACGCUAUAAUUUUACUGGCAUCUCAAAGACCAAGCCGUCUAAGUGCAUCCUGGGAGGCGUGCAUCUCUGUGCUGCAUCUGCCCUGUUCUACCUUUGCUACUUUCCUGCUUUCACGUAUUCUGAGUCCAAUAGAACAAAGUUACAAUGAAAAUGUUUUGCCUCAUAAAGUUUUCUGCUAACCGUAGACGCAAAAUUAUUGGAAGAAAUCAAUGACAUCCCCCCAAAAAUCUGUGUUUUAUAAAAUCUCUUAUUUGACGUAACUAUAUUAAGCC
rnacentral:lncRNA from 9 species